GAUUUGCAAAUCAUUGUAUUCUGUUUUUAUUUACAAUUUACACAACGUGCCAACUUCACUGCUUUUGGGGUUCGUACCUGUCGACAUCAUUUUUAGGUCCAGAACUAUGAAAAAGGUGCCAACGUCGAUGAGGAUUGGAUGAGAGACGGUGUCAAAAGCUGCACUCAGGUCCAGUAGGAUGAGGGUGAAGAGCAGUCCAGAAUCUGCUGCAAAAACAACUACCUGUAUUAAAAGCUAAGCAGUGAAGCGCCACACAGGAGACGGAACACGUCUCCUCCUCCCCGCUGAUCGCCUUUUACUCCACUCAGCGCUACCAGCAGUCCCGCAAACAACCUCCUUUGUCAGCCUGCUAUGACUCCAUCCCCAAUGCCAGCCAGAGAGUCAGUGGGAGCACAUCAGCAGCCCGCACCAGCGCUCCACAGGUCGCCGUCAUUGUCACUGCAGGGAGGCGUUUAAGAGCCGAAAAAAGCUGCGAUGGAAGGCGGAAAAAGCUGCCAAAACUCAGGUAUAUGGAUCUGUUCACACGUGUGAUUGAUGGUGUUUGGACAUCAUUGCAACAAAAAUAUGAGGCAAUUAAAGUUCUGUGUUGUCUAUUCAAAAAGUACACACAAUGCAUUUUACAGGCAAGCAAAGAAAGUGUGAUUUAAAAAAAAAAAAAAAAAAAAAGCUUUUAUCUUUCCGAGGCAGGCGUCGCUCUCGCAUAAAUCAUCAAUAUUUCUGAUGAUGUCAAUCUCAUCAUUGAUUAAAAAGCAAGGUAAUCCUUCACACGUGGAGAUUAUUGCCUCAGCACAGCUCGCAGCUCCAGGUGCAUUCCUAUAAACAAAAUUUAAAAAAGUCUGUGUUAAUCCUUAAAGGAGGCACUUCUUUAGGAUAUGAAACUGCAGCCAGUUGAAAGGCUGUAGCCGUUUCCAAAAAUAUUGUGAUUUUUUUGAGGGACACUGGCAUAAACACUAAGUCAGUGAGUCUCAAAGUAGCACCUCAGAAAACACUAUACGACCAUAAUGACCAAUAUUAAAAUACAGUAGUGUAGUAGGCCUAAGUAUUUAUUAAAAGCAAGGCAGAGGUUUUAUUUAACAAGUAUAUUUAAUAUAUUUGGGCCACUGUAACAUUACUAACUGGCGGCGGAACGACAGGAAGCAGCUUGCAGGUAAGAAUAAUGAUUUACGCUCAUAAAUCAGGGAAAACGUUACAAAACAAACAAAACAAGCGUGCCUAACACAAGGGAAGCUAACAGGAUAGCUCACAAGGAAAGCUAAGGCGGAAUUUAGCGCGAGAAACACAAGGAAUAACAGUUGCAUGAGAGCAAACAAAAGCAACCAGAAUGAGUGAGGCGAAAAGACAGGACUAAAUAGCACUCUGAUUAGUGCCCGGGAACGGGUGAACGUCCCAAACACUAAUCAGAGGCAGGUGAACACAAUGAAUAACCAUAGCAACCAAGGAGACACAAAACAGUUGUGCUUAAACAACAAGGGUAUCAAAAACGUAAACAAACUAUGAUCCGGGCAACGGAUCAUAACAGUACCCCCCUCCUAAGGGACAGAUUCCAGAUGUCCCCAGAAAAACAAAAAUCCCAGAAAAAGUCCAAAGUCUCAAAGUAGCACCUCAGAAAACACUCUACGAACAUAAUGACCAAUAUUAAAAUACAGUAGUGUACUAGGCCUAAGUAUUUAUUAAAAGUAGGGAUGUCCGAUAAUGUCUUUUUGCCGAUAUCCGAUAUUGUCCAACUCUUUAAUUACCGAUACCGAUAUCAACCGAUACUGAUAUAUACAGUCGUGGAAUUAACACAUUAUUAUGCCUAAUUUGGACAACCAGGUAUGGUGAAGAUAAGGUCCUUUUUUAAAAAUUAAUAAAAUAAAAUAAGAUAAAUAAAUUAAAAACAUUUUCUUGAAUAAAAAAGAAAGUAAAACAAUAUAAAAACAGUUACAUAAAAGCUAGUAAUUAAUGAAAAUGAGUAAAAUUAACUGUUAAAGGUUAGUACUAUUAGUGGACCAGCAGCACGCACAAUCAUGCGUGCUUACGGACUGUACCCCUUGCAGACUGUAUUGAUAUAUAUUGAUAUUUAAUGUAGGAACCAGAAUAUUAAUAACAGAAAGAAACAACCCUUUUGUGUGAAUGAGUGUGAAUGAGUGUAAAUGGGGGAGGUUUUUUUUUUUGGGUUGGUGCACUAAUUGUAAGUGUGCACUAAUUGUAAGUGUGUUUUUUAUGUUGAUUUAAUUAAAAAAAUUUUUUUUCGAAAAACAGAAAAAAACCCGAUACCGACAAUAAAAAAAACAAUACCGAUCAUUUCCGAUAUUACAUUUUAAAGCAUUUAUCGGCCGAUAAUAUCGGCCUGCCAUCUCUAAUUAAAAGCAAGGCAGAGGUUUUAUUUAACAAGUAUAUUUAAUAUAUUUGAGCCACUGUAACAUUACUAACUAGUUUCAACCAAAUUAAGUAAUUUAGUUUUUUAGUGCAUGUAAACAUACUGUGUGUAUUGAAGUACCAAUGAUUGUCACACACACACAAUAGGUGUGGCAAAAUUAUUCUCUCCAUUUGACCCAUCACCCUUGAUCACCCCCUGGGAGGUGAGGGGAGCAGUGAGCAGCAUUGAUGGUCACGCCCGGGAAUCAUUUUUGGUGAUUUAACCCCCAAUUCCAACCCUUGAUGCUGACUGCCAAACGGGGGGUAAUGGGUCCCGUUUUUAUAGUCUUUGGUAUGACUCGGCCGGGGUUUGAACUUACAACCUACCGACCUCAGGGCGGACACUCUAACCACUAGGCCACUGAGUAUGUUGGGCAUGGUAAUAUUGAUUAUAAUAAUAAUAAGAAAUAUAUAAUAAUAAUGAGAAGAAAUAAAUAGUAAUAAAUACAUAGUAAUAAUAAAAUCAUUACAUAAUAACAAUAAUAAUACAUAAAAAUAAACAAUAAAAUAAUAUGUACAAAAAAUUAUAAUAAUAAAUACAAAAAUCAUUAUAAAUACAAAAAAAUACCACACAAAUAAUAAUAAUAAAUACAAAACAUAUAUUAAAUAAAGUAAUAAUAAUAUUUUACAAAUAAUAAUAAUGUCCAGGGUGUACCCCGCCUUCUGCCCGAUUGUAGCUGAGAUAGGCUCCAGCACCCCCGCGACUCCGAAUGGGACAAGCGGUAGAAAAUGGAUGGAUGGAUGAAAGACUGGUGUUUGAAAGUAGAGGAAGAUGGAGGUUGGGUGGCUUCCAGUCAGUCCUCACGGGUAAUUUAAGACAGAUUGAGGUGCGCUGUCUCCAAGGUGGUGGCAAAUGGAGGUCUGUGAAAAAGUAAAGGCCAGCAGCGUUGACCUCAGAAAGGAAGUCAUUUUGACAAAUUUGCCAUAAAUACUGCAAUAACUUCUGAAGUAUAACAGGCCUCCCAGUGCCUCAUUAUGUUGCUUGGCUAGUACGAGGUGCACAACAAUAAUGGGGAACAUUGCCCGAGCGUUUGUUUGAGCGCGGUUAACGUAAACACGAGUGUUCAUUAGUGUAUGUCAUCCAUGAGUCAAAUCUAUCAUCUUACAUUUCUACUGUCAAGUGCCAGGUUUUAUAACCACCGGGGUGCGUUAUGUCAACAUUGGCGUGCACACAAUGGGCCUCUCUGUGUGCGACGUACUCGAACGCGGCCAUGGUGACAUGUUGCGCAACGCCUCCAUCGAGGUACUGCGAGCAAACAUGUCACACGGGCUGGAUGUUGUUUCUGGGAAAAAAAAGUAAGUGGAGAGCUGAGCGGGGUCAUGGCUGCUGCUGCUGCAGUGCACCUCAUCAGUCAGUCCAGCAGCCCAGAUGAGGGAUUGUUGAAAUUUUGGCGUUUUGCCUCUCUUGGCAUCGGAGCCAGAUGGCCCACCAGAUGAGCGAGUGGUCUUGCUUGGUUAGAAUGAGGACAAUUCCUGUUUUAACUGAGAAACUUGAAGUCCUUUCACACGCCAUCCAUCUUUUUUUUUUUGCUUUAAAUAGAGCUGCUGACACUCGUUAGUUCUGUGUGCAGAUCUGCUUUAUUUCAUCAGAGCGCUCCAGAUGACCUUGCAGCCCACAUGCAUACGUACACCUGAGUGCAAUCACACGGCACAAAGUCACGAAGGAACAAGCUGCUUGUGUAAUUUCCUACUUAAAAUGUUCCCAGAUGCCUUAUCAGUCCCUAUCAUGUUUGUUAUUGUUGUGGCCUACAAAGCCUGUUGAGAAAUUGAAGCUCGCACCGUAAACGUAAGGCAGAGCUUCUGAAUUAUUUUCUGUUUUCGCCACCCCACUCUCCGCCGCGACUAUAAAUAGUAUCAUUUGUCUGCACAAUUGUUAUAAGUACACCUCUGCAUAUCUGUAUCUGUAACAGAACCGGGGCAUGUUGAUGGUAGGGGUGUUGU